AUUGAUGCCUGGCAGGGGAGAUACCAUGAUCAGGAAGAUGGUUUUCCCAGGACGAGGCUUAUCUAUUUCACUCCGGAUGGUCUGACCCCUGGGAUUUCCCCAAACGUGGGAAACUCAACUACUCAAUUUGUGAUAGUGGGGGAAUGCAUUUGUGCUCUCCUCUA